UGUGGUGUGGCUCAAUGGUAGAGCAUUCACCUAGCACAUGCAAGGCACUGGGUUUGAGCCUCAGCACCACAU
rnacentral:tRNA from 1 species